GGUUAAGCGACUAAGCGUACACGGUGGAUGCCCUGGCAGUCAGAGGCGAUGAAGGACGUGCUAAUCUGCGAUAAGCGUCGGUAAGGUGAUAUGAACCGUUAUAACCGGCGAUUUCCGAAUGGGGAAACCCAGUGUGAUUCGUCACACUAUCAUUAACUGAAUCCAUAGGUUAAUGAGGCGAACCGGGGGAACUGAAACAUCUAAGUACCCCGAGGAAAAGAAAUCAACCGAGAUUCCCCCAGUAGCGGCGAGCGAACGGGGAGCAGCCCAGAGCCUGAAUCAGUGUGUGUGUUAGUGGAAGCGUCUGGAAAGGCGCGCGAUACAGGGUGACAGCCCCGUACACAAAAAUGCACAUACUGUGAGCUCGAUGAGUAGGGCGGGACACGUGGUAUCCUGUCUGAAUAUGGGGGGACCAUCCUCCAAGGCUAAAUACUCCUGACUGACCGAUAGUGAACCAGUACCGUGAGGGAAAGGCGAAAAGAACCCCGGCGAGGGGAGUGAAAAAGAACCUGAAACCGUGUACGUACAAGCAGUGGGAGCCUCUUUAUGGGGUGACUGCGUACCUUUUGUAUAAUGGGUCAGCGACUUAUAUUCUGUAGCAAGGUUAACCGAAUAGGGGAGCCGAAGGGAAACCGAGUCUUAACUGGGCGUUAAGUUGCAGGGUAUAGACCCGAAACCCGGUGAUCUAGCCAUGGGCAGGUUGAAGGUUGGGUAACACUAACUGGAGGACCGAACCGACUAAUGUUGAAAAAUUAGCGGAUGACUUGUGGCUGGGGGUGAAAGGCCAAUCAAACCGGGAGAUAGCUGGUUCUCCCCGAAAGCUAUUUAGGUAGCGCCUCGUGAAUUCAUCUCCGGGGGUAGAGCACUGUUUCGGCAAGGGGGUCAUCCCGACUUACCAACCCGAUGCAAACUGCGAAUACCGGAGAAUGUUAUCACGGGAGACACACGGCGGGUGCUAACGUCCGUCGUGAAGAGGGAAACAACCCAGACCGCCAGCUAAGGUCCCAAAGUCAUGGUUAAGUGGGAAACGAUGUGGGAAGGCCCAGACAGCCAGGAUGUUGGCUUAGAAGCAGCCAUCAUUUAAAGAAAGCGUAAUAGCUCACUGGUCGAGUCGGCCUGCGCGGAAGAUGUAACGGGGCUAAACCAUGCACCGAAGCUGCGGCAGCGACGCUUAUGCGUUGUUGGGUAGGGGAGCGUUCUGUAAGCCUGCGAAGGUGUACUGUGAGGUAUGCUGGAGGUAUCAGAAGUGCGAAUGCUGACAUAAGUAACGAUAAAGCGGGUGAAAAGCCCGCUCGCCGGAAGACCAAGGGUUCCUGUCCAACGUUAAUCGGGGCAGGGUGAGUCGACCCCUAAGGCGAGGCCGAAAGGCGUAGUCGAUGGGAAACAGGUUAAUAUUCCUGUACUUGGUGUUACUGCGAAGGGGGGACGGAGAAGGCUAUGUUGGCCGGGCGACGGUUGUCCCGGUUUAAGCGUGUAGGCUGGUUUUCCAGGUAAAUCCGGAAAAUCAAGGCUGAGGCGUGAUGACGAGGCACUACGGUGCUGAAGCAACAAAUGCCCUGCUUCCAGGAAAAGCCUCUAAGCAUCAGGUAACAUUAAAUCGUACCCCAAACCGACACAGGUGGUCAGGUAGAGAAUACCAAGGCGCUUGAGAGAACUCGGGUGAAGGAACUAGGCAAAAUGGUGCCGUAACUUCGGGAGAAGGCACGCUGAUAUGUAGGUGAAGCGACUUGCUCGUGGAGCUGAAAUCAGUCGAAGAUACCAGCUGGCUGCAACUGUUUAUUAAAAACACAGCACUGUGCAAACACGAAAGUGGACGUAUACGGUGUGACGCCUGCCCGGUGCCGGAAGGUUAAUUGAUGGGGUUAGCGGUAACGCGAAGCUCUUGAUCGAAGCCCCGGUAAACGGCGGCCGUAACUAUAACGGUCCUAAGGUAGCGAAAUUCCUUGUCGGGUAAGUUCCGACCUGCACGAAUGGCGUAAUGAUGGCCAGGCUGUCUCCACCCGAGACUCAGUGAAAUUGAACUCGCUGUGAAGAUGCAGUGUACCCGCGGCAAGACGGAAAGACCCCGUGAACCUUUACUAUAGCUUGACACUGAACAUUGAGCCUUGAUGUGUAGGAUAGGUGGGAGGCUUUGAAGUGUGGACGCCAGUCUGCAUGGAGCCGACCUUGAAAUACCACCCUUUAAUGUUUGAUGUUCUAACGUAGGCCCCUUAUCGGGGUUGCGGACAGUGUCUGGUGGGUAGUUUGACUGGGGCGGUCUCCUCCUAAAGAGUAACGGAGGAGCACGAAGGUUGGCUAAUCCUGGUCGGACAUCAGGAGGUUAGUGCAAUGGCAUAAGCCAGCUUGACUGCGAGCGUGACGGCGCGAGCAGGUGCGAAAGCAGGUCAUAGUGAUCCGGUGGUUCUGAAUGGAAGGGCCAUCGCUCAACGGAUAAAAGGUACUCCGGGGAUAACAGGCUGAUACCGCCCAAGAGUUCAUAUCGACGGCGGUGUUUGGCACCUCGAUGUCGGCUCAUCACAUCCUGGGGCUGAAGUAGGUCCCAAGGGUAUGGCUGUUCGCCAUUUAAAGUGGUACGCGAGCUGGGUUUAGAACGUCGUGAGACAGUUCGGUCCCUAUCUGCCGUGGGCGCU
rnacentral:rRNA from 1 species